rnacentral:lncRNA from 1 species
AUGUCAUCUUCAGAAUGGAAAGUUUGUCUCUGGACUCUGGAGCAGACGGGAGGAAGGAAACCCAGCAACGAGAAAGAACGAGAUGGAAGCGUGAUGCAGGUGGAGGCUGCGAGUCUGUGUGCAUCUCCUCUCGGCUCCUCCUCCCGAAGACGACCCGGUACCAUCGUGAGGGGCGGUCCGUCUCCGGAGACCAUUUCUGAUCACUGCAGCCAAGAUUCCCUGGAGAAGGCCAUUCUGCUGACCACUAUACCCCCAAUGCCUUGGUCAGUUAGGACUCUCUGGGGAAGACAGCACCAUAAAGAGCAAGACCAGACCAGGUGA